GAAUGGCUCAGUUGGUAGAGCAUGAGAUUCUUAACCUUAGGGUCACGGGUUCGAAUCCCACGUUAGGCA